rnacentral:rRNA from 1 species
AUUGAACGCUGGCGGCAAGCCUAACACAUGCAAGUCGAACGAGUGGCGGACGGGUGAGUAAUGUCUGGGAAACUGCCUGAUGGAGGGGGAUAACUACUGGAAACGGUAGCUAAUACCGCAUACCAUCGGAUGUGCCCAGAUGGGAUUAGCUAGUAGGUGGGGUAAAGGCUCACCUAGGCGACGAUCCCUAGCUGGUCUGAGAGGAUGACCAGCAACACUGGAACUGAGACCAGGGCCAGAUGCCUGCGGGAGGCAGCAGUGGGGAAUAUUGCACAAUGGGCGCAAGCCUGAUGCAGCCAUGCCGCGUGUAUGAAGAAGGCCUGCGGGUAGUAAAGUACUUUCAGCGGGGAGGCGUUGCCCGCAGAAGAAGCGCCGGCUAACUCCGGGCAAGCAGCCUCGGUGAUAC